CAGCCGCUUCCGUUGGCUUGUCAUUCGACAAAUAAAAAAGUUCGCGAUUAGUGCGGUGUGCUUUGUCGUCGCGGUUAAGCCAAUCAAGGCCUACUAAAAAUUAAAAGGCAGACCGCUACCUGAUGAAUUUAACGACUGUCGACGACAAAGCCACAGAACGAGAGAAACGUGGUUGAAAAUCUUCCCGAAAGGCACAAAGGCGCCGUGAACAAUCGACCAAAAGGGAAGAUUCACCAGAUAAAGCAACGGAGCAGAGAAAUAGAGUCAAGAACGGCUGAAAGCCAAGUCGUGCAGCCUGCAAAGGUUUCCCAAGCUGUGGGGAAGACGGUCACGAAGAGUUUGGUCACGUUGGGAAUUCGCAGAGUUGGAGGCGAAGUCUCGGAAGAAAACCAACCAAUCAUCCAGAGAAGAAAAAGAAAAUGCGCCAACUAAAUCUGGCUACUGAAACGGCAAAAAGGAAGGAAAAAAUCCCCGAGAGCCCCUUUACAAAAGGGUUCUCUUUUCCCCCUUCUUUUCUUCCUCUAUUUCUCCCAGGAGUUGGUCAUCUGUGUAUGAGUGGAAACCAGUACGCGUGCGGAAACCGGAAAUCACCAGAAAGCAGUUCGACAGUGGUCGAUGGUAAUCAAGAAAUCGGAGGACUUCCGGAAAAGCCUGGAUUCAUCGGUACAAGGCGCCAGGCGGAGAUUCGACAGUGGUCGAGGAGGCCGAAGGGACCGGAAAAGGUUUCCGGAAGAAUCCUGAUUGCAAGGAAAAUUCGCUAAACAAGUGCUCGACAGUGGUCGAGAGAAUCCUGGGAACUGUUCUAAGUUUUCCGGAACGAUCUGGGCAGGAGCUGCAGGGAACCGAGGCCGAUAGCUACCGGUGGAGAACGAUUCGGCCUGGACGCAGGUCAGAGAAUUGUCGUCGAUCGGAGAAGGGAAUCUGCCGCAACCGCAAGUAUGCUGUUAGGACAUCCAAAUUCAAAUUGUUUCUGUGUUCGCCACCCGAGCGGCCUCUGCGAUUUCUGGGUCAACGAUGACCGUCAAAUUCAUCGUCAUUCUUGGGACGAAUCGAGUCCAGAACAU